GAAUAUUGGACAAUGGGGGGAACCCUGAUCCAGCCAUGCCGCGUGUGUGAAGAAGGCCUUUUGGUUGUAAAGCACUUUAAGCGAGGAGGAGGCUACCUGGAUUAAUACUUUAGGAUAGUGGACGUUACUCGCAGAAUAAGCACCGGCUACCCCCGUUCCAGCAGCCGCGGUAAUACAGAGGGUGCGAGCGGUAAUCGGAGUUACUGGGAGUAAAGGGUGCGGAGGCGGCCAAUUAAGUCAAAUGUGAAAUCCCCGAGCUUAACUUUGGAAUUGCAUUCGAUACUGGUUGGCUAGAGUAUGGGAGAGGAUGGUAAAAUUCCAGGUGUAGCGGUGAAAUGCGUAGAGAUCUGGAGGAAUACCGAUGGCGAAGGCAGCCAUCUGGCCUAAUACUGACGCUGAGGUACGAAAGCAUGGGGAGCAAACAG
rnacentral:rRNA from 1 species